UCAGGAUGAACGCUGGCGGCGUGCUUAAUACAUGCAAGUCGAACGAAGCUUCUCGCCGAAGUUUACUUCAUGAGAAAACUUAGUGGCGGACGGGUGAGUAACGCGUGGGUAACCUGCCUUACACAGGGGGAUAACAGUUAGAAAUGACUGCUAAUACCGCAUAAGCGCACAGUAUCGCAUGAUACAGUGUGAAAAACUCCGGUGGUGUAAGAUGGACCCGCGUCUGAUUAGCUAGUUGGUGAGGUAACGGCCCACCAAGGCGACGAUCAGUAGCCGGCCUGAGAGGGUGAACGGCCACAUUGGGACUGAGACACGGCCCAAACUCCUACGGGAGGCAGCAGUAGGGAAUAUUGGACAAUGGGGGAAACCCUGAUCCAAGCGACGCCGCGUGAGUGAAGAAGUAUUUCGGUACGUAAAGCUCUAUCAGCAGGGAAGAAAAUGACGGUACCUGACUAAGAAGCACCGGCUAAAUACGUGCCAGCCGCAGC
rnacentral:rRNA from 1 species